rnacentral:rRNA from 1 species
CCUGGGUGUUACACCUCUUCCCAUUCCGAACAGAGAAGUUAAGCCCCAGAAUGCCGAUGGUACUGCAUGCGCAGGUGUGUGGGAGAGUAGGU